rnacentral:rRNA from 1 species
AACGAACGCUGGCGGCAGGCUUAACACAUGCAAGUCGAACGCAUCCUUCGGGGUGAGUGGCAGACGGGUGAGUAACGCGUGGGAACGUGCCCUUCAGUUCGGGAUAACCCAGGGAAACUUGGGCUAAUACCGGAUACGUGCUAGAGCAGAAAGAUUUAUCGCUGAAGGAUCGGCCCGCGUCUGAUUCGCUAGCUGGUGGGGUAAUGGCCCACCAAGGCGACGAUCAGUAGCUGGUCUACGAGGAUGAUCAGCCACAUUGGGACUGAGACACGGCCCAGACUCCUACGGGAGGCAGCAGUGGGGAAUAUUGGACAAUGGGCGCAAGCCUGAUCCAGCCAUGCCGCGUGAGUGAUGAAGGCCUUAGGGUUGUAAAGCUCUUUCGUCCGGGACGAUAAUGACGGUACCGGAAGAAGAAGCCCCGGCCAACUUCGUGCCAGCCGCCGCCGUAA